GUGCCAGCUGCCGCGGUAAUACCGGCAGCCCGAGUGAUGGCCGAUCUUAUUGGGCCUAAAGCGUCCGUAGCUGGCCGACCAAGUCUCCCGGGAAAUCCACCCGCCAAACGGGUGGGCGUCCGGUAGAAACUGGCCGGCUUGGAACCGGAAGGCUCAGGGAGUACGUCCGGGGUAGGAGUGAAAUCCCGUAAUCCUGGACGGACCGCCGGUGGCGAAAGCGCCUCGGGAGGACGGACCCGACGGUGAGGGACGAAAGCCAGGGUCUCGAACCGGAUUAGAUACCCCGGUAGUCC
rnacentral:rRNA from 1 species